rnacentral:tRNA from 1 species
GGGGAAGUUGCUCAGUGAUAGAGUGCUUGCCUAGAAUGCCCAAAGCCCUGGGUUCAACCCCCAGCAUCACCA